rnacentral:rRNA from 1 species
AACGAACGCUGGCGGCAUGCCUAACACAUGCAAGUCGAACGAGAUCUUCGGGUCUAGUGGCGCACGGGUGCGUAACGCGUGGGAAUCUGCCCUUGGGUUCGGAAUAACUUCGGGAAACUGAAGCUAAUACCGGAUGAUGACGUAAGUCCAAAGAUUUAUCGCCCAAGGAUGAGCCCGCGUAGGAUUAGCUAGUUGGUGAGGUAAAGGCUCACCAAGGCGACGAUCCUUAGCUGGUCUGAGAGGAUGAUCAGCCACACUGGGACUGAGACACGGCCCAGACUCCUACGGGAGGCAGCAGUGGGGAAUAUUGGACAAUGGGCGAAAGCCUGAUCCAGCAAUGCCGCGUGAGUGAUGAAGGCCUUAGGGUUGUAAAGCUCUUUUACUCGGGACGAUAAUGACGGUACCGAGAGAAUAAGCCCCGGCUAACUCCGUGCCAGCAGCCGCGGUAAAGUAGUCGUGU